rnacentral:lncRNA from 1 species
CUUAUGAGCAUUGAGUGUGGUCAAGCUGUGUAGACCCUUAGGAGCUUGUCAUGUGGUUAAAUCAAGAUUCACUUGCACGUUCACUCACAUAUGCUACUUCUACUCCGGAAGUACCAUCCACAUAUAUCCACUCAUUUCCAUCUCCAGAACCACCCAAAAAUAUUCUACUCCUAAUCCGGGAGAGAAUAGCCAAAAAUAUUUCUGUUUUUCCCUUGUGAAAUAAAUGCUCAAGUUAUCUUGUUACUACCACUUGCUAUAUUAUUUCAAGAGAUGAGUGCUCU